AAACUUUCAACAACGGAUCUCUUGGUUCUGGCAUCGAUGAAGAACGCAGCGAAAUGCGAUAAGUAAUGUGAAUUGCAGAAUUCAGUGAAUCAUCGAAUCUUUGAACGCACAUUGCGCCCGCCGGCAUUCCGGCGGGCAUGCCUGUUCGAGCGUCAUU
rnacentral:rRNA from 1 species